CUGUUUUGCCAGCCUUCAUGGCAAAACAGCAAACAUGGGGGGUGAAUCUGUUGCCCUGCACACCACUUCAUCACAGUGCUGCUUUCCCCAUCACAAAGGGGAAGUAUUGCUGAGGUGGCAUGGAUCUGUGAUGGCUCCAUUGGAGGUUCCUGUGUUUGGAGGGAAGCUUCCUAGUAGGAUGCUUCCACUCUGGUUGUGGGCAAGGCCUGCACUGGAAGUCCAGCGACAUUGUGUGAUGCUGAAAUCUGCUUUGUGUGAUUUAUGAAGGAACUUGAAGCGAUUAGUUUCACAGUGCAUGAAAAUUCCUCAGGUUCAGAGGGAUGUCCAAUCUGUUACACCAGGAACCGUUGACUGGAUGAGAACAUGAGCAGCUCGGAGCCAUAAGGAGAUUGUGUUGAGUUAUUAAACACUUGUGGCAAAGCUGCUUAUUGUUAAUUCCCCAAUGUCCUGCCGAAGUGGUUGGAUAAGAUCAGAUCGGAUUAGAUCAAAGAGCCUGGGAACCGGCCUUUCGAGCAGAUUCGUUUAAUCAAUAAAGAGGAGAGAGAGAGAGAGAGCAGCAGUACCAGGAUCACAGGAGAUUAGGAAACAAGAGCAUAAUCAGGACUCAGUGCAUCGGAUCAGACCGCUGAGUUGUUGACAGAAGCUCGGAGAGGCUUGCCAGCUUUCCACAUGAAACACAGGCUUUCUUCUAAUACACCCCCUACCGUCUGUCUCUCUGCCAAUUGUAGCACAUCAGAGCAGCCAUUGAGAUAAUGACCGUGAAGUCUCAUGAUACACUUUGAUGAAGUGUAACAUUUUUUAAGGGAUUUUUGUCUGUGCCAAAGUGAUAGAGACAGCUGACUAAAAAUCACCCCAUCAAAAUCAAGGCUGGUGAACAGCAGGCAGAGACAUGUGUUUCCAGCAAAGAGAGAGAGAACAACUUAGAGCCAAUGAUUUUCCCAGAAAGUACAGUCAGCCCUCCACAUUUGCUGGGAUUGGAGGCACAGAACUCUCAUAAAAGUGAAAGCAUAUGACUUCCGGUGAGCAAUGGCAACAACAGGCUGGGCUUGCUAAGGGCUCUCGGCAAGCCAAGCCGCGAUCGACAACCAGGUAGAGCUUUCAGCUCCCUUACCCCCCGCGGAUUGAAUGAAAGCAUAUGAUGAGGUCAUAUGACAAUUUCAUAAUGUAGGAAACAGCACCUGGUCUUGUACAAGUUUAAAAAUUUUGUAAUUUCCUUCUUAUAUCUAUCUAGGAAAGUCUUUAAUAUGCAUUUGGAUUGGUGCACCACAUAAUAACAAAUGGUCAAUGGUUAAACAGA